UACAGAGGUCUCAAGCGUUGUUCGGAUUCAUUGGGCGUAAAGGGUGCGUAGGCGGCGCGGUAAGUCGGGGUGUGAAAUCUCGGGAGCUUAACUCCGAAACUGCAUUCGAUACUGCCGUGCUUGAGGACUGGAGAGGAGACUGGAAUUUACGGUGUAGCGGUGAAAUGCGUAGAUAUCGUAAGGAAGACCAGUGGCGAAGGCGGGUCUCUGGACAGUUCCUGACGCUGAGGCACGAAGGCCAGGGGAGCAAACGGGG
rnacentral:rRNA from 1 species